ensembl:lncRNA
UCAUGUAGAAUGACCUACUACAUAUAACAUUUUCAUUUCCCAGGAGAGGAAACAGAGAAAUGAAUGCAACAUGUCUUUUAAAUAUAGGUAAAACCCAAGGAAUAAUAUUUACUGUAAAGAAGAACAUAUUCCUAAUGUAACAGUGGAAUAGAAUGAGAUCAUGCAAUUACAUUUAUACAUGCAAGUAAUGUGUACAAUCCUUCUCUCCUGGCCAAAGAUUUUUUCUCUGCCAUUUUAAUUCUAAUGGCAUUGAUCAGAUUAUUUAUUUUUAAAGAAAUACGACUGCUAAUGAGCUAUUAAAAUAACAGUAUUCAAAGGUCAUAUAUUUAUUACAUGCUAAGAGAGGGUAUGUGUUUUUUUUAAUAUCUUGCAUCUUCAUUAAAUAUGAAGGUAAUUAAUUUUAUUAUUCAGACACCUCUUUCCUACACAUGUUUACUUAAGUUUUCUUCUGCUCAAAUCAGUCUAAUAAAAAUAAUGGAGCUGGUGAUGUUUGACCUCUUCAUUUGUCUCAAAUUUCAGGAAUUGUGUGGUCCAGAACACAGUGCACUAGCUGGUGAGAAGUUUACACUUGGGUUUUUUUAAGGACUUGCUGCAGUAAAUUUUCUUGUUGCUUCCCGUCUUUCAAAUGUAUGAUAUUUCAAGCAGUUUAGGGCAGAUGCAUUCUAUUCUGUUUCUGUAAUACCUGGCACAAUUAGAAUUUCAUGUUAUUUAAUAUAUAUAAGAGAAUUUUAAAGUUAAAAAAUGUAAGUUGAAGCAAGCUAUUGUAUAUUUUAAACUUGAUUAUGGCAUUCUAGUGUAAAAGCUCAUGUGGGUAUGAGGUGAAUACAUUGUAAGAACCAUUACUUCUUCUCCAUGGAUUCAGUACACACCUACAGAAUUUGCAAGUCUGUGCGUUUGUGUGAAAAGUACAGAAUCAAAGAAGCUGUAGAUAAAAGACUGGGAUCCACAGGACAUGAUAAAACUUUUAAGUGUCCAUCUUGAGAAGCAGAGAGACAUUGAAAACAAUUGGAAUUAACUUAUUACAGAAGGUUUUUAAAAGUAUUAAGUAUGUAUAGCCAGUACAGGAAAAGUUCUUUUCUUUUGAUUACUGUAAUAGAUGUAGUACUUUGUUUUUCAUUAACAUUUUGCUGUAAAGAGUUCCUUUAUUGCAUUAAGGAAUGUAACCUUAAAGGCUAAUUUUAGCUAAGGCAGCCUUUCCUCCCAAGGCUCUAUUGACAAAUGGUUCUUCUGGAGGGCAGUUCGGAGCCUACUUCAUGUGCUUUGAAUUAGUUUACUGAAGGAACCUUUCUCUGUCCAUUGACUCGGCCCUGGAAAAAAUAACUUAGAUCUCUGCAAGUAAGCUUAGUCUUCAGUGAAUACAUGGAACACCCUGUUAGCAUUCAGACUAUGAUUCAGAAUAACUCUUUUUAGGUCACAUUAUUUAUGAAAAUUUUUAUUGAGUUUUCACAGCUUGAUAACAGAGUAAGAUGUACUCUUGGAAUCAGACAUCUCCCACCCCCUGCAAGUGUUAUGCAGAUCUUACAGACACUAAUAUUGGGCCUCAGAUCUUUGUGCCAUCUGCUUUAGUACCCAUUUUUCAGCAGAGUCUGAAGCACAUCAACAGUAUUUGAUUGCUUUCUGCUGUGUAGUUGCAGUGGUCCUGAUAGCAACCAGUAAAUGCCACUCCCUUAUCAUAAUCUUUUCCCAGACAUUCCAUUCACAAAAAGCUAUGUAGAAGGAGUUUCUUGGAAUUACAACCAGAUUUAUCUGGGACCCCUUAUAAGAGGUCCUACUUCUAAUGAGUGCAAGUCUUUCAUUGACACCACAUGCAUGAAAAUCUCUCCAUAUAUGUUGUGGUAAUAUACAUGUGGCACCUGUGAAUAUAGGCACAAUCUCUUAGAUAUAGACUGGGGAAUUUAUUAAUAUUAAGGUUUUUCAGUUCUUUCAUUCAAACUGUACAUGGACCUGGGAUAUUGAUUCUCAUCUUUAGGCAACAGAUGAUGUCAUUACACAAAUCAUACAAUUUCAUUUUCAGAAGAGCAUAAGAUACCUGUUGCUCUACACUUAAGUCUCUUCUAGAAUCCUGUCAAAAAUGCUGUGAUAUCUGUUAGAGAGCAGAUAUGAUGAGAUAAGCUCUCUUUUUCUUCUGUAACCUUUCUGGUGCACAUUUGAACACUACCCUCACCUAAGACUAGAAUUAUUUUGCACUAUCACAAUAUAGAUUAAUUUUAGAGCAACUGAAAAUGCAAGACAAAAUGAAACAAAAAUGGACAGAUACAGUCAAGCAAAUUACAGAAUAAUAUUUUGCAUGAGAUCCCAAAAUGUUGUGAAAACAUUUUGCCUACAUGUAUAAUGAAUCACAGAAUUUUUACAGUUAUCUUGCUUAAUAUUUUUCCAUUCAUUAUAAGAUUGCUUCCAGUCUUUGUCAUUAGCUACAACUGGGACAUUAAUCUAAUAAUAUUUCAUAUAGUAAGGCUAAUUGAUACAGUAACUAUUACCUUGAUUAAACAACUUAGUCUUUGCAUGCCUGCUUUGGAAGAUAAACAUUCCUGGUGCAACCCACUCUGCCUUUAUUUUUGCUGGGUUUUCCAAUUCUGAAGUCAUGUGCAGCCUCUGAUUUAGGCAACCACUAACCAGGCAGAAGUGCAUUUACGCGUUGAACCUAGGUUGAUCAAUGCAAUCAUGUCAGUUGAGUUUGUACUGUGGAUGUUAACUUCAACAUUUAUGUGCAUUUCUCCUCCUUUUGUCACUAGCUAAAUUUAGAUGCUAGGUUUCACUGCAAGAUAAAGGUACAACAACCCACUGUAAAAUAUCCAUUCAUAAAGCCAACCCAAAACAGAAUUGCACUUCAGUAAUCUGACUGCAUGGAUAACAACACAGCUGUUGGAUCAUAAUUGUACAUGUUUUGCAGGAGUAGAAAUCCCCAGUUUGCCAAAUAUGCAUUUAAAAAUAAAGGUAUCAUUUUAAAAGUUUUCAAGACUCUAUCUACAGGGUGUUUUUUUUUUUUUUUGUGAAGUAUUGUUUUUAUGCUCAGUAAGUGGAAUUCAAAUCAAAUGCUAAAUAACCAAUGAGUGCCAGUGACAGAGUGGCUGUUAUUUUCUCCAGUUUUACUCACCUGUCCAACAGAAAAAAAAUUUGCUGUAUUGCUUUGUGUAUACUCACAGCCAUUUAUCAUCUCUUUAAAUUUUUUCCUUCAAUAAAGGCAAUAUUCAUCAGUAAAAAUGGUCAAAGUAAUUCCAUUUGUGUUAGUUUGUAUUAUAUUUUAAAAUUCUAAAUUCAGAUUUAGGUAGCGACAGCAUUGACUGGGAAGCAGUGUUAAAUACCUGCCAAAAAUUUACUUUUACAUUACUUUCAGUGGAAGUGAAGCUUGAGAAUUGUCCAUAUAUUUAUUUUUGUGAGAGAAAGAAUUGGUUAGAAUACAACCAAACUGUUGAAAGCCAUUUUGAGCUGACAGUGUUUUCAAGCUGCUUAAUAAAGCAGCCUAGAAUGAGAUGUGGUGUUAAGGACAUUUUCAAGUAUUUUCAUUUCAGUAUUUUCUUAGUGGGUCCUUUUAGCCUUUAAGAAAAGUUUCUAUUUGUAUGAGCCAGUAACUACAAUGUGCACUAGAAUUUCUUGCAUUUCUUUUUAUUUUCUGCAGAAUUUGUUUGCUCUGCAGAUAUCACUGACAUUUAAAUUUAGAAUCAUCAAACUUUAUAUUUACAGCUUACAAUUAAACAAAUUAUAUAAUGAAGAUAUGUCUCAAAAAUAAAUCACAUAAGAGAAUGAAUAAAUUAAGUCAUCCUCCUUAGCCUUUUGCCACCUGCUUCUUCUUGAGGCUGUGUUUUUGCACUGUAUGGUGUUUUGUCUGGUAUUUCCUCUUGCAGCUCUCUGGUAGCUGCAUACAGCCAGACUAUGUCACCCAAGUAACGACUUUUAGCUCACACCCUCCAAACACUUAAUGAUUGGAGGAAAGCAUCUAUGAGUUCUAGAUAGUGUUCUAGUUAUGACAAGUGAAGGUAUAUGUGAAAUAUGAUUAUUAUUAUAAUAUCAUUAGUCAGUAUUUUGCAUGUGCCUGUGUCUGACUGAGAGGCUAUGCAUGUUGCACUAGUGAGCCUCAGAGGCUUAUGUCUUAAGCUCCAACCAGAACAAAACUUUUAGAUUUUCAUUCAUGUCCUACAUGUUGAAUGAGGAACAACCAUCACAAAAGAAAACAACACCAAUUUCUUCACACCUACCUCUUGUUAAUGGAUAUUAUAAAUAAAUGUCACCUCCAUCAGCUACAGGGCCAGAGGUUCCUCUACCCAGCCACUGGAUCCCAGUCUAGAGACUCAGGGGUUUCCAUCCCAAGCUGAUGGACAUGUCUACUUCUUUUCCAUUUGCAGGUUCAGCCAGUAGGCUGAACAUACGUUUCUAGGCUGAGCAUGUGUUUUGGAGACGUGCAGUCACACAGAGGAAAAGAGGCAAAGCUGCCUACAUGUACUGUCACAGACCAGGCGCUGCCUUCUGCAGCACCCACAUGUGACAUUGACAGGACUGCAGUCAAGUCCUCUUCUUCCUCUUGAGCUGGUAUAGAGCCAAAUUCACUGGCUCAAAUUCACUAGCUGAAAGCAUGUGUGUCCCCACUCACUAUACUCACAAGCAGAUGCACAUGUGGAGGUCCCUCCUGGUGCUGUAAAUAGGAAUUGUCAGGGGCCCUGCAUAAGUAUGGUCUGAGAAAGCAAACAGGCCAAUCAUAGUUCUACCAUAUUAUUGCAUGAGCAGUAAGCUAUUCCAAACUCCAGCCAUGCUAAUAAUAAUGAAUGGCAUAGGAUAGGCUUGAAGUCUGCUUUAUUUUGCUUAGACCAAAUCUGUAAAUCGAAAUGUUUGCAUUUAUAUUCCAUAUUCAGGAAUGUAUAUGUUUAGUGGUUUUGGGUUUUUUUUUAAAUUCCAGAUUGAAAAUGUAGGUUUUGAAUAAUGAAACUGUUACUUGAAUGAGGAAAAACUACAGUUCUCUCUCCUUCACUCACUCCAUCUUUUCACCCUCUAACCUUUAAAGAAAGCUGCAAUUCCAAAUCUCAAAUGCCCCUAUUGUCUACGCAGUGGGGAAAUCAUUGAUCUCCUCAAAAUUACUUCCUGUUUGCAUCCUCAUUCUGAGGUGCAGCUGGAGAUAAUAGGCUGUGCUAGGGCAGUAGCCUUUCCUGAAGGCAUGAGGUUCAUAGGACUCGCACUAAUUCUCAAGCAUAAAAAUACAUUUGAAUAGGAUAUUUGUUUCUAAAUUGUUCUGUCUAUAAUUUUAUCACCAGCCUCACUAUGUGAACUAGUUGACCACUAGAUAUAAAGUCUGUGUAAAGGCACAAUAUAGCAUUUUUUUUAACAUGGUUCAGUUAUAAUCAAUUAAUAAAUCAAAAAAUGUUUGAAGUUGCUCACAUACUGCUGCCAAUUUUGGUAGACACAUUCUCCAUACAGUACACCAUGAACAGAAAUGUGUUUAGCUGUCCAUUAAUGGCAGUCCUUGAUGUAACCACACAGUCAAGAUAAGAAAUAUGGAAGCUAAAAUAAACAACUUGAAUCACUGUAACAGCAAAAGGAAGCUUGCAGCUCCAUACUACACAAUGCAAAAGUACACAUAAAAGAGCUGCAGCCCUGUUGCAGCAUGUCAAACAAGAAAGCCCUCGGUGCUGUAAACUAUUUCUCUCAUGUUGAGAUUGACUUUUCCAGUCAUAAAAAAAAUUUCCACUUUUAAAGGUGAUAUAGCUACAGAUCCAGUAACAGACGAAUGAAGAAAGAAAGGAUGUGGUUCCUACAGCUGUAGGAACCUGUACAUACUGUACAUAGCCAAAAGUAUUCUUCUUGGUAUGAUUUUACAGAUGUGAUACUGAGAAGGAAACUCCACUGUGAGUGUUGUGAUCCUCUAUUGCUAGCACGACGUUUUAGCUGCUUAUCUAGCCUUUACAUAACCAGAUUUGUUUGACUCCUGGAUGAAGGAACCAUAAUUCUAUCAUCAAAACACUCAAUUGAAUAUUGAACUUUGGGAAUAAAAAGAUUCUACCCCCUGUAUCUUUCUGUGUUUUCAACAUGAUGUCUCUUUAUGUAUAUCUGUCUGUGUACAAAAAUCUUUCUUCUGUCAAUAGUUUGUUGUGUGGCCUGGAGUAGAUCCCAUACCUCAGGAGGGAGUAAAAUCCUUCCUCUCCUGAGAGUGGGAGUCUUGGUCUUCAGCAGGGUUAGGACUUCAUCCUGCAUCUAAUAUUCUGAAGCUGUACAAUGAAGACAUGAAUAUAACAGGUCCCUGCCUUCUUCACAAGAGUAUUCAAAGUUGAAGUAGUUUCCCUUCACAGAAAUUAAUGACUUUUCUUAAUUAGCUUUACUUUUGUCAAAGCACAAAUUCUAAAAAA